UGGCGACCAUAGCGAUACGGUCCCACCUGAUCCCAUCUCGAACUCAGUAGUGAAACGUAUUAGCGGCGAUGGUAGUGUGGGGAUUCCCCAUGUGAGAGUAGCA
rnacentral:rRNA from 1 species